rnacentral:misc_RNA from 1 species
UGCUCGCUCCAUUACAAGUAAUAUGCACUCAGAGUCAGUGUGGAAAUAUUUUUUGAACUCUAGGUUAAUGCAUGUUUAUCAGCUCCUUUGUCUAUUUAUUUACUAAUACUUGAUGCAUACUGUGCAGCCAUAUCACAACACAAACUUUUUCUAGAAAGAGAUCUGAAAUUAGCACUUUCCAGAAAUUAUCAAUUUCUUAAUGAACAUUUCUUCAAAUUUCUCAUUUUAUAUCUUUGGCUCUGUGGCACCUUUGUUUAAUGUAAAAAGGAUCACAAAGUUAUAAUCACAGCAUCCACAAUUA